UAAAAUCAUCACAUCUAACGCUAUUGCCCCUAUUCCAUUCUCUCUCUCUCUCUCUCUCUCUCUCUCUCUCUCUCUCUCUCUCUCUCUCUCUCCUUUUUUCUUCUCCAAACUGUUUCUAACUCUCAUUUUUGUUCUCGGCUGACUCUUUCCCUCUCUCACCCCCUUUGUUUCCCCUGUGAUCUAUGGGUGCUCCAAAUUUGAAAAGCUUCCAGAUUACUGUAUGGUCUUUCACUUCACACGCUGAUGUCGUGUAGAUCAUUUUUCAGAUGUCCUGUCCAAGGCUCAACGAUUGCAUAACAUUUUCCAAAAAAUUAUUGGAUAAAUGUGAAGAAGAAGUACCCAUGAAAGAAAUGGUCUUAAAGCUAAUGACAAACACAAUGUGAAGACGAAGAAAUAUUCAUGAAGAACUUUUAUGUACUUUGAUUUGUAAUUUUUUUUAAUAUAUGAAUAAUGACCCAUUAUAUCAUAUUUAUUAUUAAUUGAUAUAUUAUAUCAUUUUAUUGUGGGAUAUCAUAUUAUAGUAAAUACCGUUAAUUAAUGCAAUGUGCAAGUAAUAUAUUUAUUGUGGUGUUUA